CAGCCGCCGCGGUAAUACGUAGGUGGCAAGCGUUGUCCGGAAUUAUUGGGCGUAAAGGGCUCGUAGGCGGUUUCUUAAGUCUGAUGUGAAAGCCCCCGGCUCAACCGGGGGGGGUCAUUGGAAACUGGGAAACUUGAGUGCAGAAGAGGAGAGUGGAAUUCCACGUGUAGCGGUGAAAUGCGUAGAGAUGUGGAGGAACACCAGUGGCGAAGGCGACUCUCUGGUCUGUAACUGACGCUGAGGAGCGAAAGCGUGGGGAGCGAACAGGAUUAGAUACCCGCGUAGUCCCUGUCUCUUAUAC
rnacentral:rRNA from 1 species